rnacentral:misc_RNA from 1 species
ACAGGUCGAUUAAGUGUGAGUAGUUGGUUGGCUCUUCCUCAUCUUCUUUCCAUUAAUUCUGUCAGAAAAAGAUCUGUUAUUUUUGUUAGAAGUUAGGCUGGAGACUGCAUUGGCCGUCAGAAGAUGUGUAGCUUCAGCCUUGGCCAUGCCUUAGAUCUCCUUUACUUGGUUUUGGUAUUUUUUAGCACCUUUCAUAGGGUUUAUUGACAUUCUGGGUAUAUGUAAUUAUCAUACAUAAAAUAUGAAAAUGGCUGUACUGUUGCAUAUACCUUUAGUUUAUAGAAGCCGCUUUUUUUUCCCCCCUACAUUUUGACUUUCCUUGGAAAUGAAACCUAUUUGCCUGAUUACUCGCGUAAAAAUG